rnacentral:rRNA from 1 species
UCUUCCGCAAUGGACGAAAGUCCGACGGAGCAACGCCGCGGGAGUGAUGAAGGCUUUCGGGUCGUAAAACUCUGUUGUUAGGGAAGAACAAGUGCUAGUUGAAUAAGCUGGCACCUUGACGGUACCUAACCAGAAAGCCACGGCUAACUACGUUCCAGCAACCGCGGUAAUACGUAGGUGGCAAGCGUUAUCCGGAAUUAUUGGGGGUAAAGCGCGCGCAGGUGGUUUCUUAAGUCUGAUGUGAAAGCCCACGGCUCAACCGGGGAGGGUCAUUGGAAACUGGGGGACUUGAGUGCAGAAGAGGAAAGUGGAAUUCCAUGUGUAGCGGUGAAAUGCGUAGAGAUAUGGAGGAACACCAGUGGCGAAGGCGACUUUCUGGUCUGUAACUGACGCUGAGGCGCGAAAGCGUGGGGAGCAAACAGG